AGGGGUGUAGCUCAACUGGUAGAGCACCGGUCUCCAAAACCGGGGGUUGUAGGUUCGAUCCCUAUCGCCCCUGCCA
rnacentral:tRNA from 1 species